AGAGUUUUAUCAUGGCUCAGAACGUACGCUGGCGGCACGCCUAACACAUGCAAGUCGAACGAAGUAGCAAUACUUAGUGGCAGACGGGUGAGUAACAUGUGGGUAUCUGCCCUUUGGCCUGGAAUAACACGAGGAAACAUGUGCUAAUACCGGAUAAGUCUUUACGGAGAAAGCUUUAUGCACCAUUGGAUGAGCCCGCACUUGAUUAGUUUGUUGGUGGGGUAAUGGCCUACCAAGACUGUGAUCAAUAGCUGAUUUGAGAGGAUGAUCAGCCACAUUGGGACUGAGACACGGCCCAAACUCCUACGGGAGGCAGCAGUGGGGAAUCUUGCACAAUGGAGGAAACUCUGAUGCAGCGAUGCCGCGUGAGUGAAGAAGGCCCUUGGGUUGUAAAGCUCUUUCGUCGGGGAAGAAAAUGACUGUACCCGAAUAAGAAGGUCCGGCUAACUUCGUGCCAGCAGCCGCGGUAAUACGAAGGGACCUAGCGUAGUUCGGAAUUACUGGGCUUAAAGAGUUCGUAGGUGGUUGAAAAAGUUAGUGGUGAAAUCCCAGAGCUUAACUCUGGAACUGCCAUUAAAACUUUUCAGCUAGAGUAUGAUAGAGGAAAGCAGAAUUUCUAGUGUAGAGGUGAAAUUCGUAGAUAUUAGAAAGAAUACCAAUUGCGAAGGCAGCUUUCUGGAUCAUUACUGACACUGAGGAACGAAAGCAUGGGUAGCGAAGAGGAUUAGAUACCCUCGUAGUCCAUGCCGUAAACGAUGUGUGUUAGACGUUGGAAAUUUAUUUUCAGUGUCGCAGCGAAAGCGAUAAACACACCGCCUGGGGAGUACGACCGCAAGGUUAAAACUCAAAUGAAUUGACGGGGACCCGCACAAGUAGUGGAGCAUGUGGUUUAAUUCGAAAAUACGCGCAGAACCUUACCAACACUUGACAUGUUCGUCGCGACUCUAAGAGAUUAGAGUUUUCGGUUCGGCCGGACGAAACACAGGUGCUGCAUGGCUGUCGUCAGCUCGUGUCGUGAGAUGUUGGGUUAAGUCCCGCAACGAGCGCAACCCUCACUUUUAGUUGCCAUCAUUAAGUUGGGCACUCUGAAAGAACUGCCAGUGAUAAGCUGGAGGAAGGUGGGGAUGACGUCAAGUCCUCAUGGCCCUUACGUGUUGGGCUACACACGUGCUACAAUGGUAUCUACAACAGGAAGCAAGACUGCGAGGUCAAGCAAAUCCUUAAAAGAUACCUCAGUUCGGAUUGCACUCUGCAACUCGAGUGCAUGAAGCUGGAAUUACUAGUAAUCGUGGAUCAGCGUGCCACGGUGAAUGCGUUCCCGGGUCUUGUACACACCGCCCGUCACACCAUGGGAGUUGGUUCUACCUUAAGGCAAGGUUUCAAACCCUUGACCACGGUAUAGUCAGCGACUGGGGUGAAGUCGUAACAAGGUA
rnacentral:rRNA from 1 species